rnacentral:rRNA from 1 species
UACGGAGGGUGCAAGCGUUGCUCGGAAUUAUUGGGCGUAAAGGGUAGGUAGGUGGUCUCAUUUGUCUGGGGUGAAAGCCUUGAGCUUAACUCAAGAAGUGCCCCAGAAACGGUGAGACUCGAGUCCUGGAGAGGGUCGUGGAAUUCCCGGUGUAGCGGUGAAAUGCGUAGAGAUCGGGAGGAACACCAGAGGCGAAGGCGGCGACCUGGACAGGUACUGACGCUGAGACGCGAAAGCGUGGGGAGCAAACAGG